AUGACUUUGACACUGAUCCGGCUCACUUGUGUACGGCAAGGUGUGGUUUCAGGCUCUUACAGAAUUAAGAACUAUUGCUCAAGCAAGCAUGCUGUGAAGGUAGGAGGGCAUCCACACCUGGCACCUACAAUUUCAGUUUGUUUAGAGCAUGUACUCAGAGUAUGUUGGAAUAUAGUGGAAUGCUAUGGGAGUCCAUCUGACAGGGGCAGAGGAAGAAAAUCCACCUUACUCUAUGUCUUUGCAACAGGAGAGAGGGGCAAGCUAAUGCAGUUCACCUGUUCUGCUCUUCUGGCAGGAUUUACAAUCACAGAUCAUGGGUCAGCACUGCAAGAGGGUGAGGAAGGAUCGCACUGGUGUAGCUAA
rnacentral:lncRNA from 1 species